CCCACCCACCCGCGUGCACGCACCAAACUGAAGUUAAUCAAACUACCUCACCUCAGUGGAGACUAGGCGUUAAAUAUCUCUGGCCCUGACUAGCGCUGACAACUAGCUAGCUAAUUCAAGACGCAGAAGUCACAGAUUCUAGACAUAAUGAACUUCUUUUAAACGUCCAUUAACUCCUGCGCCUGUUUUAGAAAACAUUAUUGGAAAAGUAGUGGUCGAACGGCAGCAGACAGAGAUGAGGAACACAGUGAUCCUGAAACAGACUGCAAAUCAGGAAGGGACAGAAAGGAGAGGUGACAAUGUAAGAUUGGAGGGACAUCUAACCUUCCCAUCCAAUGGAUAUUUGAAGAAAUUAGAGAGAAUGCGACAACUCAAGGAAAAUGAAAUUGAGAUACUCCCGGGGA
ensembl:lncRNA